CCUGCCUGUGUGAGUCAGCGGUGGAAAAAGCGACUCCAGUGCUCGAGGAUGGCCACCUUAUUUGCCUGUGACUCUGUGACCCCAAAGUUCUUUCCAUGUUGGAUAAAUUAUUGAGGUGAUGUUGUUUCUGCCACUAAAGUCAUGCUCUGCCUGUUGAAGUAGUCGCCAAAGUGUACCUCUAGAGAUAUGGUUGCUGGUAAACAAGAAAGUGGAGCAAAUGAGUGGAAUCCAAAUGAGAGCUGAUAUUGGAAGCCCAGAUUUCUACAAAUUCUUGGAGACCUCCGUGGGAUAAAACAGGCCACACCACCUCUGAAAGGACAGCUACUUGAGGAAAGACUGGCACUGUGUUGUGGAACAUUCCUUCUUGAGUACUCUAAGCAGAGAUCAAAGCCUGUCUUCCCUUUGGAGACCCAGCAACGUGGUUUCCUCACAGAGGAUUUGGAGCAAGGGAUGGAGAGCCCUCCAAGAGGAAAUCAGCCCAUGCUAUACUGACUUUCACUCUGAGAAAUGGAAAAAUCACAGCGCCAUUUCGAAUGUUUCCAAAAACUUUCAGAAAUUAAUAUCUCCGUCCCAGAGGAACAGUGCCCCCAGCCUGGGAGCUACUCUGUGUCAUCAGACAUAGUGACAAGACAGCCAUCUCAGCUCAGGUUCAGACUGCUCCACAGCGACUCUCUGCCCUAGCACAGCCUGACUCACCAUCGUGUAAAAGACUCACACUGAAAAAUCUGGCCUGAAAUGAUUGCUGGAACAAUCCCGGGAACCAUUCCACCGCCGCCGCCGUGCAUAUGCACAGCCUCUGCGAAGCCUAAUCUGAAUUCAGUGUUGCAAAAGCCAGCCUGAGAGCUCUGUAACCAAACCUCAGUCCAGGAGCCAAACCAUUUAACCCCCUGGCAUCAAACAGUUCAGAAAAUGAACUAAAAUUAGAAUGCCCAAGUAAGCACUGAAGUGCUUUCCUUACUAUUUGUGUCCAAAAAGCUGUUCUGGACAUCACACCAUUAAGCAAAGCAACGUAACUGGCCAGCAGCAAUGGUCAACGUGAAUUCAGGUUUGGAAAUGAGCUAGGCUCUUAGCUUCUCCAUAGAUUUGCCCUGCAGCUGUCACUCACUGGCAAGGGACAGAGCUGGGCUGUGUCACUCAACACACAUUUGAGGAAUGACUUCAGGACUCCCCACAUUUGGCUGCUCUUGGUCACAGACCAUCAGAAAUGGUCUACUUUGGCCACUUUUUUUUUUUUUCUUAAACCACAUCAGAUUAAAACAUUUUUUUUCCAACAAUUUGUUCCCAGCACAAGGAAUUUCCAAGUAAAAGGCAAUUAUUUGAAAUCUACCAUCAGGCCACAGAAAACAGAGUAAACAUUUAAUAUAUUUAAACAAUCAUGCCUGUAUUUCUUUUUUGUUUGCCUAAAGCUACUUGCGGACUCCAAGUAUUUAUCCUCUUCAGUGCCAACAUGGGGCAGCUGCAGAUAGGCAAAAAGAGCACUUAGAAGCGAAUUCCAAGGUUUCAGAAAAGCUCACAGCACAUUCUCCAAGGGAAGUACAAGAAUUCUACUAAGAUUCUUCUCUAUCAGACAUCACAAUGGAGAACACUCAGAAAGUCACUAAACGUUCCUGUAAGGAUAGAAGUGGCUCCAACAGACUGACUCCAUCUCUCAAUGUCAAAAGGACUGAGCCAGUAAGACCACACUGGGGAAGAAGGAAAAGAGCACAAACUGGAGUUCAAAGGUGCAUUAGGGACGUUUCAAAUUGUUUGUAUAAAAUGGAGCCCAACAAUUAGAACAAAAUAAAAUUACACCAUGGAGGAUUAUUUAACCCAAAAUUUAAAAAAAAAAAAAAAAAGAUCUAUCAGCUUUCAAGUUUAACGCACUAGCAUUCUCUGGACAGGAAAGGUAUAUAA